UACGUAGGGUCCGAGCGUUGUCCGGAAUUAUUGGGCGUAAAGGGCUCGUAGGCGGUUUGUCGCGUCGGGAGUGAAAACGCCGGGCUUAACCCGGUGCUUGCUUUCGAUACGGGCAGACUGGAGGUAUGCAGGGGAGAACGGAAUUCCUGGUGUAGCGGUGAAAUGCGUAGAUAUCGGAAGGAACGCCGGUGGCGAAAGCGGCGUGCUGGACCCUUUCUGACGCUGAGGCGCGAAAGCCAGGGGAGCGAACGGG
rnacentral:rRNA from 1 species